rnacentral:rRNA from 1 species
UUCCGGUUGAUCCUGCCGGAGGUUACCGCUCUGGGAGUCGGAUUAAGCCAUGCUAGCGAAUGGCAGUUCGGCUGCCCCGCGAAUAGCUCAUUAACACGUGGUCAAUCUGUCCUUGGGACGGGGAUAACCCCGGGAAACUGGGGAUAAUACCCGAUAGACGGGGGUUCUGGAAAAGUCCCUCGUCGAAAUGCUCCGGCACCCAAGGGUGAGACUGCGGCCCAUUAGGUAGUUGGUGAGGUAAAGUCUCACCAAGCCACAGAUGGGUACGGGCCCUGAGAGGGGGAGCCCGGAGAUGGGGACUGAGACAAGGCCCCAGGCCCUACGGGGCGCAGCAGGUGCGAAAAUUUUGCAAUGCGUACAAGCGCGACGAAGCGACUCCCAGUGCCGAUGGUCCAACGACCGUCGGCUUUUCUGAAGCGUAAAAAGCUUCAGGUAAUAAGGGCCGGGUAAGACUGGUGCCAGCCGCCGCGGUAACACCAGCGGCCUGAGUGGUAACCGAU